UUCAACCAGCACAACUUUGUCUACUUCAGCCUUUGUAAUUGCAGUGUAACGUCUAAGUAAUGCAUAGUGCAUUGCGUAGCUAGUACUACUGAGAUAAAUGGAUAGUUAGCUAACGCUUAGUUGAACCAGCACUAAAUGAUGAUUUUGAAUAUAUAUUUUCUUUGUUAACAGAGGCAAAAUGCUGUUGCGUGUUCAGCUCGGGGAAGAGCAGAAAUACGUCAAGCUGUCUGAGCUGACAUUCAAUGCUUUCUUGAAAGAAGUGUGUCUAAAAUUCAACAUACCAGAAAGCAGAAAGCCAGACAUUAAGGUGUAUGACCAGUCUGACACAGAAGUUGACUCAGAUGUUUUUGAAGAAUUAGUAAAGGAGUCACCUGGAACUUUCAGAAUCAUGCUGGGCAAUGGACUUGAUACCUCUCAUUCAUCAUCAUGCUCGGGUACAUCUGAUGACACCAUCAUUCUGAAUUUCACUGUGUGUGACGAUGUUGAAGAAGUAGCGGCUGGCGAAGGAAG